rnacentral:rRNA from 1 species
AGAGUUUGAUCCUGGCUCAGAACGAACGCUGGCAGCGUGGAUUAGGCAUGCAAGUCGAACGGGAUCCCUUAGCUUCAAGUUUUCGGACAAGAAGUUUUGGGUGAGAGUGGCGGAAGGGUGAGUAACGCGUGGGUAACCUACCCCUUAGUUGGGGACAACCAGCCGAAAGGCUGGCUAAUACCGAAUAUGAUUCUUCGUCGCAUGACGAGGUAAUUAAAGGCGGGGAUUCUUCGGAACCUGCCGCUAUGGGAGGGGCCCGCGUCCCAUCAGUUUGUUGGUAAGGUAAUGGCUUACCAAGGCUUACGGGUAGCUGGUCUGAGAGGACGGUCAGCCACACUGGGACUGAGACACUGCCCAGACUCCUACGGGAGGCUGCAGUCGAGGAUCAUUUACAAUGCGCGAAAGCGUGAUAAUGCGACGCUGCGUGGAGGAUGACGGCCUUCGGGUUGUAAACUCCUGUCAUGAGGGAAAAACAGCAUGUGUGUGAAUAGCAUACGUGUUUGAUGGUACCUCAAGAGGAAGCCACGGCUAACUUCGUGCCAGCAGCCGCGGUAAUACGAAGGUGGCAAGCGUUGUUCGGAUUUACUGGGCGUAAAGCGUGCGUAGGUGGUAUCGUGUGUCGGAUGUGAAAGCCCAUGGCUCAACUGUGGAAUUGCAUUCGAAACUGCGGAACUAGAGUACAGGAGGGGAGAGCGGAAUUCUUGGUGUAGCGGUGAAAUGCGUUGAUAUCAAGAAGAACACCGGUGGCGAAGGCGGCUCUCUGGAAUGUUACUGACACUGAGGCACGAAAGCUGGGGGAGCAAACAGGAUUAGAUACCCUGGUAGUCCCAGCCGUAAACGGUGCGCACUUGGUGUAGGGGGUAUUGACCCCCCCUGUGCCGGAGCUAACGCGUUAAGUGCGCCGCCUGGGGAGUACGGCCGCAAGGCUAAAACUCAAAGAAAUUGACGGGGGCCCGCACAAGCGGAGGAGCAUGUGGCUUAAUUCGAUGCAACGCGAAGAACCUUACCAGGGCUUGACAUGCAGCUGCACAUCCGGUGAAAGCCGGACUCUUUCGAAGGUGCUGCACAGGUGCUGCAUGGCUGUCGUCAGUUCGUGCCGUGAGGUGUUGGGUUAAGUCCCGCAACGAACGCAACCCCUGUGGUUAGUUGCCACCGCCGGUGAUGAGCCGGCGAGCACUCUAGCCAGACUGCCCGUACAAGCGGGAGGAAGGUGGGGACGACGUCAAGUCAGUAUGGCCCUUACGCCCUGGGCUGCACACGUGCUACAAUGGCAGGUAUAGAGGGAUGCAAGACCGCGAGGUGGAGCAAAUCCCCAAAACCUGCCCCAGUUCGGAUUGGAGUCUGCAACUCGACUCCAUGAAGUCGGAUUCGCUAGUAACGGCGUAUCAGCUACGACGCCGUGAAUACGUUCCCGGGCCUUGUACACACCGCCCGUCACAUCAUGAAAGCCGUCUGCACCCGAAGUCGCUGAGCCAACCUUUCACGAGGAGGCAGGUGCCGAAGGUGUGGGUGGUGAUUGGGAUGAAGUCGUAACAAGGUAGCCGUAGGGGAACCUGCGGCUGGAUCACCUCCUU